ACCGCACCCCCACAACUCCAGAAGAGAGCGCUUGCCGCAGGCCCCGGAUAGGGUAGUGCCGCCGCAGAACAGCGCCAGUCGUAGCCGACCGGCCAGCUAAAGCCGUUGGCGCUGGCUGGCUGCGCGGAGGGGCGCAAUUACGUUCGCACUAGUUUCGGACGGGUCGUAAUUAUCUCGCAAAAUCGCACCCCAACCAUUUUCUUUCAUUCGCCGUUCUCUCUCGCUCGUGCGCGUUCCCACACACAGCGGGCGCAAGAGAUGAGCUCGGAGGGAACGAAAGAAGGCAAAAGAAAAAGACCACGAAAGCGUCGUCAUUCUGAAGUCGCGUCAGCCGGGUGGGGGCUCCGAAAGAAACACGCCGCCGGUCCAAAUUGCGCCGCUGCGUCAGCGAGCGAGGCAGAGCUACACGAACGCUGCUGCUGCUCCAGCACAAGACGGCGACGAAAAAAAAAAGAAAGAAGAGGGAGAGAGAGAUUCUCCCUGCAGCGCUACCAGAGCAACAGCGAGCCAGCUAGCAGCAGGGCCCGGCAAGUGCGCGCCGCACAAAGCGACACAAGAAGCAAAGCAGAAGAAAAAAAAAGUGCAGUAUAACCAGAACACACGCAUAAAGACCGCGCGCGCGCCCCCCUAGAAUAAGCCCUGGGAGGAACGAAGCCCGCACAAGAGCGGAGUUGGGAGGAGGAGCGGGCCCUGGUAGAGUUUGAAAAGAACGCCGAGGAGCACUGGUGGAGGGGAAGGAGACAGGCAAGUAAAUAAAGAAAGCACACGCAAGCCUGCAGAAGCUGCAGUGCACAGGGAAAGGCACGUCGGCUACAGAGAAGGCUGGAACAGCGAGCGAAACGACGUCAGCUUUAUUUUUUUGUUGCUGUCUUCUCCUUUGGAGCCGGGCGCUUAUUUUAUCCUCCUACUCGCCAUCUCAGGGGCUAUUAUCGCGCGCGCGCACACUCCCCCCAGCCACCCGCUGUUUUCAGGCCGCAACAGCUGCGCUCGCCUCCGAUUGGACGAAACGCGCUGGCGGCUCUUCCAGGCAGACAACGGCACCCCCCGCUUUUACCGCAGUAGCAGAAGAGCGGCGCGGGCUGUGCGCAGGCGCGAGCUGCGGAGAGGGCGCGCGAGCCUGUAGAAGGACGGACGGCUAGGCCAGAGAACGGCGCUGCGCAUCCUAGAUCGAAACCCGCCGCCCCGAAUUGCCACGUAGGCACUUGUCUCCCACCAUAUUUGCAAGUAGGCACGGGAUAACGCCGCUGGCGAGUUUCAUAUUCGACAAAAAACGUCCCCAGUACGCUAGCGAGUCAGAAUGACUUUUUUUUAAACUUUCAUCGGCAGCGGCGAAGCUGGAGUAUAGAGUACGUACAGCGCUACGCCGGCCAUCCGCUCACAGGUGACCUUCGUUUCACAACGGGCUAUGUAGAGGAAGAGAUUCAUUAAAUGUGUGCAUCAUGCAUUGUGCUGCGGCGGAGCGCCAUUUCCUUCUUUUUUUUCUUCCGUUGCCGAAAUUGUGAUGACUUCCUGUUUUUCUUUGAACUGCACGGCGAGUCCAGCCCAGUGGUAGUGUGCCCCGCUCCAUCCAGCGUCGCCCGACAGCCGAAGCCGCCACCGCCGAGCCCGGCCGGCACGGCCCGAACUUCCCACGACGCCAUUGCAGAGGGUGCUCAUGUAUAUGCAAUACGGCGUUCAUUAAGUAACGUAAAUAAAUUCGCCCAAAUGCAAAUGAAUCUUUCGACGAUCUCGUUUCUUUGACAGCGAACAAGUGCGGCGGCUUCUUUUGCUACGGACACCACAUGCAUCAUCGAACUGGCAACAACACAAGAGACGAGGGGCCUCUCACUCGCGCGGACCUCUCGCGUAAAACGCCGCCAUCAACAACGUGCGCCUGCAAUUAAUGGAUGCAGAGGCCACAGUCGAACGUGACGCAGCUUCGUUGUCGGAAUCCUUGGCUUCUGCACGACAUGGCGUGACUUCUUCGCGUUCCGACGGAGACACGACGCGCUGUAGUGCAGCGAGCGAGCAACACUGCACCAAUCAUGGCGGUGAUGACUCGUCAUUCGGUUUAUAAGAGUCAUUUCAAAA